rnacentral:rRNA from 1 species
UACGUAGGGGGCGAGCGUUGUCCGGAAUCAUUGGGCGUAAAGCGCGUGUAGGCGGCCCGGUAAGUCCGCUGUGAAAGUCGGGGGCUCAACCCUCGGAUGCCGGUGGAUACUGUCGGGCUAGAGUACGGAAGAGGCGAGUGGAAUUCCUGGUGUAGCGGUGAAAUGCGCAGGAUAUCAGGAGGAACACCAAUUGCGAAGGCAGCUCGCUGGGACGUUACUGACGCUGAGACGCGAAAGCGUGGGGAGCGAACAGGG